rnacentral:tRNA from 1 species
GGGAGCGGAUAGGCUCUGGUGGGCCUUGCGGACUUCAAAUCCGUGGGCGGUAAUUAAUGCAAUUGCCGCGGUGGGUUCGAUUCCCACCCCUCCCGCCA